rnacentral:lncRNA from 1 species
GGGCCGGCAAGAUGGCGGUGUUGCGUGAGUACCUACAGAGAUCAUCUGUGUGCUGCAUUUGUACCAAAUCCAAACCUUGUGAGCUAUAUUACCCUUAUGACAUUCACUGUACCAUAAUUGUUUCUGCGCACGAUUUAUUUACUCUCUUGGAAAGCACACAGUGUGUGAAGAUACCGUCAGGAGCAAAUGAGCCUCACGUUUUGUGCACGAGAAAUGUGACAUCUCUGUUUUGUCAGAUUUACUGCAUGUACCAAGAUGAUUCACGUGGCAGGUUUGCAGUGUAAUUGGUGCUUUUUAGAAGUACAAUUCAUUGUCAGUCUAAAUAAUUA